rnacentral:rRNA from 1 species
GAACGCUGGCGGCGUGCCUAAUACAUGCAAGUCGAACGAGUUCUGAUUAUUGAAAGGUGCUUGCAUCUUGAUUUUAAUUUUGAACGAGUGGCGGACGGGUGAGUAACACGUGGGUAACCUGCCCUUAAGUGGGGGAUAACAUUUGGAAACAGAUGCUAAUACCGCAUAAAUCCAAGAACCGCAUGGUUCUUGGCUGAAAGAUGGCGUAAGCUAUCGCUUUUGGAUGGACCCGCGGCGUAUUAGCUAGUUGGUGAGGUAACGGCUCACCAAGGCAAUGAUACGUAGCCGAACUGAGAGGUUGAUCGGCCACAUUGGGACUGAGACACGGCCCAAACUCCUACGGGAGGCAGCAGUAGGGAAUCUUCCACAAUGGACGCAAGUCUGAUGGAGCAACGCCGCGUGAGUGAAGAAGGCUUUCGGGUCGUAAAACUCUGUUGUUGGAGAAGAAUGGUCGGCAGAGUAACUGUUGUCGGCGUGACGGUAUCCAACCAGAAAGCCACGGCUAACUACGUGCCAGCAGCCGCGGUAAUACGUAGGUGACAAGCGUUAUCCGGAUUUAUUGGGCGUAAAGCGAGCGCAGGCGGUUUUUUAAGUCUGAUGUGAAAGCCCUCGGCUUAACCGAGGAAGUGCAUCGGAAACUGGGAAACUUGAGUGCAGAAGAGGACAGUGGAACUCCAUGUGUAGCGGUGAAAUGCGUAGAUAUAUGGAAGAACACCAGUGGCGAAGGCGGCUGUCUGGUCUGUAACUGACGCUGAGGCUCGAAAGCAUGGGUAGCGAACAGGAUUAGAUACCCUGGUAGUCCAUGCCGUAAACGAUGAAUGCUAGGUGUUGGAGGGUUUCCGCCCUUCAGUGCCGCAGCUAACGCAUUAAGCAUUCCGCCUGGGGAGUACGACCGCAAGGUUGAAACUCAAAGGAAUUGACGGGGGCCCGCACAAGCGGUGGAGCAUGUGGUUUAAUUCGAAGCAACGCGAAGAACCUUACCAGGUCUUGACAUCUUUUGAUCACCUGAGAGAUCAGGUUUCCCCUUCGGGGGCAAAAUGACAGGUGGUGCAUGGUUGUCGUCAGCUCGUGUCGUGAGAUGUUGGGUUAAGUCCCGCAACGAGCGCAACCCUUAUGACUAGUUGCCAGCAUUUAGUUGGGCACUCUAGUAAGACUGCCGGUGACAAACCGGAGGAAGGUGGGGAUGACGUCAAAUCAUCAUGCCCCUUAUGACCUGGGCUACACACGUGCUACAAUGGAUGGUACAACGAGUUGCGAGACCGCGAGGUCAAGCUAAUCUCUUAAAGCCAUUCUCAGUUCGGACUGUAGGCUGCAACUCGCCUACACGAAGUCGGAAUCGCUAGUAAUCGCGGAUCAGCACGCCGCGGUGAAUACGUUCCCGGGCCUUGUACACACCGCCCGUCACACCAUGAGAGUUUGUAACACCCGAAGCCGGUGGCGUAACCCUUUUAGGGAGCGAGCCGUCUAAGGUGGGACAAAUGAUUAGGGUG